GCACUCACUUCAGCAGCACAUUUACUAAAACUGGAGUGAUUCAGAGAAAAUUACCAUGGGCCCUGUGCAAAGAUAACAUGCAAAUUUGUGAAGCACUUUAUAUUUUU